rnacentral:tRNA from 1 species
GCGGUCUUGGCGGAAUUGGCAGACGCGCACGGUUCAGGUCCGUGUGAGGAGACUCAUGGGGGUUCGAAUCCCUUAGACCGCA